rnacentral:rRNA from 1 species
GGACUGAGACACGGCCCAUACACCUACGGGUGGCUGCAGUCGAGAAUCUUCCGCAAUGGGCGAAAGCCUGACGGAGCGACGCCGCGUGGUUGAUGAAGUGCUUCGGCACGUAAAAACCUUUUAUGAGGGAGAAAAUUCGUUGAUAGUACCUCAUGAAUAAGGAGCUCCAAACUCUGUGCCAGCAGGAGCGGUAAUACAGAGGCUCCAAGCGUUAUCCGGAAUCACUGGGCGUAAAGGGUGUGUAGGUGGUUUAGUUAGUCUUUCGUUAAAGCUCCCGGCCCAACCGGGAAAAAGCGAAAGAAACGGCUAGACUAGAGGAUGCGAGAGGUGCGUGGAACUUAUGGAGGAGGGGUGAAAUCCGUUGAUACCAUAGGGAACACCAAAAGCGAAGGCAGCGCACUGGCGCACUCCUGACACUGAAACACGAAAGCGUAGGUAGCGAAUGGGAUUAGAUACCCCAGUAGUCUACGCCCUAAACGAUGAUCGUUGGCUUUUCGGAGUAUCGACCCUCUGAGAGGCGAAGCUAACGCGUUAAACGAUCCGCCUGGGUAGUACGAGCGCAAGCUUAAAACUCAAAGGAAUAGACGGGGACUUGCACAAGCGGUGGAUUAUGCGGUUUAAUUGGAUGGUAAACGAAAAACCUUACCAAGGCUAGAAAUCUAUCUGAAUCCUAGAAGAAACUUUAGGAGCCUCACAAGGGCAGAUAGACAGGUGAUGCAUGGCCGUCGUCAGUUCGUGGUUUAAGCUGUUCCCUUAAGUGGGGUAACGAACGCAACCCUUAUUGGCUGUUACAAGUGUCAGCCGAGAC